rnacentral:lncRNA from 1 species
GCCUAUGAAACCAAUGAUUUAUAAGUCAAAAGAAGAAGUGAUAUAUGUGGAAACACAAGUGCAGGAAUAUUAUGGGAUAAGCACAAAAAAUCUCUUCACAAGUAACCAAACCAGUAGCAUAAAAAAUCUCUUCACAUAACCAAAAAUCAACCUGUGGUGCUAGUACACGAUUCUCCUGGCUGAAAAACUAUAGGACGACGGUAGUUAUUACGUUGAUUUGUCGGCUGGUGAUUAUGGUCUACCAUCUCUAGUGCGUCGAUUAUUUUUUGGCCAAUAAAGGGGGUGGCACUGGAGGAUCUAGGAGCCAUUUAGAGUGGUUGAUGGUUCCAAUGACGUCCGCUGAUUUUGGCAAAAAUGGAGAUACCGGUGAUGAGAUCGCUGGUGGUAGAGAAGUAGAAAGGCUAUUGUGGCUGAGUGGUGAGGAAGAUGAUGGAUAGAAGUAGAUCAUGAACCUUCACAAGAAUUUUGCAGUGCCAUUUUGAGUACUUUCGAGUUUCUUCACAAUCUUAACAAAGACAGUAGAUCAUGAACCUUCACAAGAUUGCAAUUCUUAGAAUUUUAAGAAAAAUGUUAAAGAACAAAAUUCAUAAUAAUGCAACUUGUUGCAGUUCAACAUAAACAAGUUCAAUCCAGACAAGCUUGUUAAUUGAAACACACAUCAGCUAUACCAAUAAUUCAUAGCAUGUAAAUGUCUGUAAAUACUGCUAAGAACAUGUUAACUUAAAUAGUUUAGACAUUCAUUACAGAAAAAGAUAUGAAAUCAUUGAGAAAGAGAAAAGCAAAAGCACUUGGGUUCAUCAAAUCCAACAACACCAUUUGAAUAUUGAUGUACAAUAUAGAAAUCAGGAAUACAGGAAGUCAUACUUAUUAGUUAACAAAGUUCAACAAGACAUAUCGAGAAAAUAUUUCAUGGCACCAGAAGACUUUUGCAGUGCCAUUUAUCAUCGAGCAAUAAUGGUACAGCUUAUUAGGACCUCCAUACCGGUGGGAAGUAGUUAUUAAUUGGUGGCAUCUAUAUUUGCUCUUGAUCAAUGAAAUUCAUUCUUUUUUGUGAGGUCGUGCAACAGAAACUACUUGGCUGGUUCAUAAAACAACAACAACAUACCCAGUAUAUUCCCACAAAGUGGGGUUUGGGAGGGUAAGUGUACGCAAUCCACACCACUACCUCAGAGGUGAGAUAGAGAGGUUGUUUCCAAUAGUCCCCCAGCUUAAAGAAAAUAGUAAAGGGAGAAAAAUACUAAGGGAAAAAAAAUAGUAAAGGGAAGGCUGGUUCAUAAACUCAAUUAAUGAGUUCUUACAUAGCCGAGAUAGUAUUAUACAUAAUGCAUCUCAUCACUUUAAACCAAUACCCCACAAAUAUCAACAGACAUAUAUUGAAAGCAAGUGGAAACAAAAGUGUAAAUAAUCAUCAACUAGAAGGAGAUAAUUUAAUUUUGUCAGAGGGGGCAGAAGGGAUUAAAGUAAAAAGAAAUAUUAGGGUCGAAAAAGAAGAAAGAGGGAACGAAACAUACACUAUUUCAGCAGCUUUGAGAGCGCUCAUGGCAUCAAAAGUGCCCAUCUGAAAUACCACUUGAUUUCUUUCCUCGGGGCACGUUCUGAAAACAACAUUGUCAGUUCCCUUCUCCAAUAUGUCAGUAGUCCCUAAGACAUCUAAGUAAUAAGGGAUGAAAAUCAUGAGAAAUAUUUUAGAUGCACCGAGUUUAGCAACUUCUUUUAUUUUUCCAUCUCAUAUGCUACUAGGUAGCUUGCAUUGAAGAACAUGUUUCACUAUGUUAUUUAUCUUUCCAUCUUCAUUUUACCUUAAAAUAUAUGUCACUCUGAAUCCUAUUCAUCCAUGGUCAUACAACCUAAAAAUAAACAGUAAGAUAGCAAGGAAUAGAGCAUACUGUCAUUUUAAGAAUAUAUUAUCUUUCUACAAUCAAAUAGUAUAUUAUCUUUCUCAAAAUAAUAGAAACGCAUAAAGCAUUCCAAAUAUAAUCUCUUUGGUAAAUUUGAUCACUUGGAAAGAUACUGAAUUAAUUACUGGAUGACAUGUACACUCUUUAACUAUUCGUGAUGUUCGCUGCCUAGAUAAUAACUGACAAAUUCAUGUUUGGUAUUCAAGGGAAAUCAGCACUAACACUAAACAUUCAGCUUUACGUUAAAAAAGUUCUCAUAUAUCUCUCAGCUAUUCCAUUUAAGUUAUGCAUCCUGGUUAAGCAUUCUCAUCAUCAAAUAUCUUCAAUUAAAAGGCUCAUUUUGAUAUAGAGAGACACACAACAUGGUGAAAUUUAAAAAUCCUCAUUGUUCAUUUAUUAUAAUGAAAAUAUUAACAGUGAUAACGUAUUCAAAUUGACAUAUACAACAGAAUAAAAUCAAAGUUACACUCAUUGAAUAAGGGAUCAUGCAAAAAACAAAACCAUCCCUGCCCUUGAUUCCUUGAUGUUUAGAAAGAGUUGGUUUCAUCCGUAGUAUAUCUCCAUAUAUUACAUAAUACUUAAUGUAUACAACAAGCUAGCGGUUAAAGGAGAAUAUGUACAUAAGAUAGUAAGAAAAUAUGAAUAAGAAAUUACCAUUAACUCGCUACUCAUAUUUGAUGAUCUUAUGAAUAAUAAUCU